UACGUAGGGGGCAAGCGUUAAUCGGAAUUACUGGGCGUAAAGCGUGCGCAGGCGGUUGUGCAAGACAGAUGUGAAAUCCCCGGGCUUAACCUGGGAAUGGCAUUUGUGACUGCACGGCUAGAGUGUGUCAGAGGGGGGUAGAAUUCCACGUGUAGCAGUGAAAUGCGUAGAUAUGUGGAGGAAUACCGAUGGCGAAGGCAGCCCCCUGGGAUAACACUGACGCUCAUGCACGAAAGCGUGGGGAGCAAACAGG
rnacentral:rRNA from 1 species